rnacentral:misc_RNA from 1 species
AAGUCGUAACAAGGUUUCCGUAGGUGAACCUGCGGAAGGAUCAUUAACACGUGAUACUCACGUAUUAACCAAACGCGAAUUGUUGUUUAAGCCUAUUAUUAGAUUGUACUGGCUGUUUGGGAAUGGUGUGGGUGACCGGUGCUUCGCGCAUAGAGCCCUGCCUUACGAGUCUAGCGUUUCGGUACGCGGUUCGAUCUAAUAAUAGUAGAUGAAUUUCGGCUGCUUAUUAAGCCUGCACCUUGGCUUGCAGUUGGAGUGCCUUAUUUAUUACCCCUUUUUUAUAUUUAAUUCUGAUUUGUACGUUUAUAUGAAUUCCUGACUAACUUCGGUUUUUUGGUUGAGUUUGUAUAGAUGUCGUAUAUUACUAAUACGAAACAACUCUUAGCAACGGAUAUCUUGGUUCUC